rnacentral:rRNA from 1 species
CCUACGGGAGGCAGCAGUGGGGAAUCUUAGACAAUGGGGGCAACCCUGAUCUAGCCAUGCCGCGUGAGUGAUGAAGGCCUUAGGGUCGUAGAGCUCUUUCGCCUGUGAUGAUAAUGACAGUAGCAGGUAAAGAAACCCCGGCUAACUCCGUGCCAGCAGCCGCGGUAAUACGGAGGGGGUUAGCGUUGUUCGGAAUUACUGGGCGUAAAGCCCGCGUAGGCGGAUUAGAAAGUUGGGGGUGAAAUCCCGGGGCUCAACCCCGGAACUGCCUCCAAAACUGCUAGUCUAGAGUUCGAGAGAGGUGAGUGGAAUUCCGAGUGUAGAGGUGAAAUUCGUAGAUAUUCGGAGGAACACCAGUGGCGAAGGCGGCUCACUGGCUCGAUACUGACGCUGAGGUGCGAAAGUGUGGGGAGCAAACAGGAUUAGAUACCCUGGUAGUCCACACCGUAAACGAUGAAUGCCAGUCGUCGGCAAGUAUACUUGUCGGUGACACACCUAACGGAUUAAGCAUUCCGCCUGGGGAGUACGGUCGCAAGAUUAAAACUUAAAGGAAUUGACGGA